rnacentral:lncRNA from 1 species
CGGGGCUAGGGGCUGCGGGGGCGGUUCGGGGGCUGCGGAUCUCAGGGCUGCGACAGGGCUCCGGGCCUCGGCUCCCGGGCGUGGCCGGGCUCUCUGUGGAGCGCUCGGUGCCCGUGCCGUGCCGGGCUGGCCGGUACGUGCCCCUUCCCCGGGGAGCGAUCGGCCUGGCGGCUCCGCCCGAGGAUGGGCACGGAGAGCCCCGGGCAGGGCCGGGGUCCCUCAGGAGCGGGCGGCCGUGCGAGGCGCCGUGUACCGUGUGCCGUGUGCCGUGCGACGAGGCCUCUGCCGUGUGCCGUGGCCGUGUGCUGUGGCGUCUGUUUACAGUGCCCGGAGUUCCCCCGGGUGGGUGGAGGAUCGCAGGCCCCUGGGCUGGGUUUGUUUGAAAACCACAAGGAGGUAAGCCAAGAGCCUCCUGUGGCACCGGAUUCUGUAUUUGCCACUUUGCUGAAGGGAGCCUGGGAGAGAGGAAGCAGUACCUUCCUGGAGGAUGGUGUUCAGAAAAGUGGAGAGACUUGGCUUCCUGGCUCCCCCCACCUGAGCAGCUUUUGUUGGGAGUAAAGCAAGUGCUGCUGUACCCGAAAUCCACAGUGGAGAACUUGAGCAGCAUAAGAGCAGCGUUGUAAUAAUACUGUAGUUAUGCUUGGUUUAUGUUAUGGUAGAAGAUACAAAUGACUUGGCUGCUAAAACUUAGGUUCCAGUGCUGUAGCUCUUUUUUCUCUACUCGGCUCCGAGGGUACGCAGCACCGUACAAAACUGCACCUAAUUUGUAAACAAAUGUCAAUUGUUCUGAUUAUUGAAGCUGGGCUUUAUUCAGUUGAAUCCCGACUGUGUACUGUGCCCAGGUCCUUUGUACAAAUAGCAUACGGGGCCUGGGGGAACCAGAACUGCACAUUCCUUGUGAUAUGUAUGGGAUUUUGGGGGGGUUAAAUAAAAAGGAGAUGCAAAAUGAGGGAAUUGCUUUUACAUGUAACUAUUCUUGUCCUAAAGGAGCCAUCAGCUCUGUGCCGAGAGUUGAGUUACAAGUCUGUGUCUUGAAAGAGCUGCAAGCCUUUUAGGGGCUGCAAUUUGUGUGCCGUGGAAUGAGAUGGCCUGAGGAAAUCUGGGAGCCGAGGAGAGCCGAGGUGUGGGGAAUGGGCGAAUGGAGGCGGGUGUGGGCGAGAAUAGGCGAGCGUAGCCGAAAGUAGCCGAAAGGGCCCGAGGAGCCGAGCGGAGCCGAGCGGCUCCGAGUUCAGCCGAGGUGAGCCGAGCUGCGCC